AUUGAACGCUGGCGGCAGGCCUAACACAUGCAAGUCGAACGGUAACAGAAAGCAGCUUGCUGCUUUGCUGACGAGUGGCGGACGGGUGAGUAAUGUCUGGGAAACUGCCUGAUGGAGGGGGAUAACUACUGGAAACGGUAGCUAAUACCGCAUAACGUCGCAAGACCAAAGAGGGGGACCUUCGGGCCUCUUGCCAUCGGAUGUGCCCAGAUGGGAUUAGCUUGUUGGUGGGGUAACGGCUCACCAAGGCGACGAUCCCUAGCUGGUCUGAGAGGAUGACCAGCCGCACUGGAACUGAGACACGGUCCAGACUCCUACGGGAGGCAGCAGUGGGGAAUAUUGCACAAUGGGCGCAAGCCUGAUGCAGCCAUGCCGCGUGUAUGAAGAAGGCCUUCGGGUUGUAAAGUACUUUCAGCGGGGAGGAAGGGAGUAAAGUUAAUACCUUUGCUCAUUGACGUUACCCGCAGAAGAAGCACCGGCUAACUCCGUG
rnacentral:rRNA from 1 species